rnacentral:tRNA from 1 species
GCACCCGUAGCUCAGUGGAUUAGAGCGUCUGUCUUCGGAACAGAAAGUCGCAGGUUCGAAUCCUGCCGGGUGUACCA